rnacentral:rRNA from 1 species
CAAUAGCGUAUAUUAAUGUUGUUGCAGUUAAAAAGCUCGUAGUUGGAUUUCUACCUAUUUUGCCCGUUCCGGAAGAUAUUCAUCUUUCGGUAAUGGAGCUGAAGUGGGUAUCCUAUCAUGAAGUAGCGGCCUCGUGUCGUUGCUGAGUGGUUCUUUUACUUUGAAAAAAUUAGAGUGUUUAAAGCGGGCUUGCGCAUGAAUACAUUAGCAUGGAAUAAUAACAUAGGACUUUGGUCUCUAUUUUGUUGGUUUCUAGGACUAAGGUAAUGAUUGAUAGGGAUAGUUGGGGGUGCUAGUAUUGAGCGGCCAGAGGUGAAAUUCUUAGAUUCGCUCAAGACUAACUUAUGCGAAAGCAUUCACCAAGGAUGUCUUCUUUA